GACGAACGCUGGCGGCGUGCUUAACACAUGCAAGUCGAACGGAAAGGCCCCUUUGGGGGUACUCGAGUGGCGCACGGGUGCGUAACACGUGAGUAACCUGCCCUUGACUUCGGGAUAACUUCAGGAAACUGGGGCUAAUACCGGAUAGGAAUCCUUGCUGCAUGGUGGGGGUUGGAAAGCUUCGGCGGUUUUGGAUGGACUCGCGGCUUAUCAGCUUGUUGGUGGGGUAGUGGCUUACCAAGGCUUUGACGGGUAGCCGGCCUGAGAGGGCGACCGGCCACAUUGGGACUGAGAUACGGCCCAGACUCCUACGGGAGGCAGCAGUGGGGAAUAUUGCACAAUGGGCGGCAGCCUGAUGCAGCAACGCCGCGUGCGGGAUGACGGCCUUCGGGUUGUAAACCGCUUUCAGCAGGGGCGAAGCUUGUGGUGACGGUACCUGCAGAAGAAGCACCGGCUAACUACGUG
rnacentral:rRNA from 1 species